rnacentral:snoRNA from 1 species
UAGAACAUACUCAGCUAGGAUCUAUUCUAUAGAAACUAACUCGAGUCUCGCAUGUUUACACAUGCCACAUCCUUCAAAUCCAGUCGAUGAUCAUCGCGCUCACUCGUUUUACUGAGAACAUGGCCCUCUUCGGAGGGUCUCGAGGACGUUUGGUUCGUGUUUCGGAGGCGCCUUGUGCUGCCUCUGGGGCUGAACCAGCGAGUGCGCGUUUGUCUGAUGGAU